UACGGCCACACCACCCUGAACAAGCCCGAUCCCGUCUGAUCUCGGAAGCUAAGCAGGGUCGGGCCUGGGGUUCCUGAAAGAACCGUUCUGAGGAACACACGAAACCUGGCAGACACCGAAG
rnacentral:rRNA from 1 species